AUCACCGAAGUUAAGCAAUGUUGAGCCUGGUCAGUACCUAGAUGGGUGACUGCUUGGGAAUACCAGGUACUGUAAG